rnacentral:rRNA from 1 species
GAUGAACGCUGGCGGCGUGCCUAAUACAUGCAAGUCGAGCGAACGGACGAGAAGCUUGCUUCUCUGAUGUUAGCGGCGGACGGGUGAGUAACACGUGGAUAACCUACCUAUAAGACUGGGAUAACUUCGGGAAACCGGAGCUAAUACCGGAUGAUAUUUUGAACCGCAUGGUUCAAGAGUGAAAGACGGUCUUGCUGUCACUUAUAGAUGGAUCCGCGCUGCAUUAGCUAGUUGGUAAGGUAACGGCUUACCAAGGCAACGAUGCAUAGCCGACCUGAGAGGGUGAUCGGCCACACUGGAACUGAGACACGGUCCAGACUCCUACGGGAGGCAGCAGUAGGGAAUCUUCCGCAAUGGGCGAAAGCCUGACGGAGCAACGCCGCGUGAGUGAUGAAGGUCUUCGGAUCGUAAAACUCUGUUAUUAGGGAAGAACAUAUGUGUAAGUAACUGUGCACAUCUUGACGGUACCUAAUCAGAAAGCCACGGCUAACUACGU